GACAGAGGGUGCAAACGUUGUUCGGAAUUACUGGGCGUAAAGCGCGUGUAGGCGGCUAUGUAAGUCGGGCGUGAAAUCCCACGGCUCAACCGUGGAAGUGCACCCGAAACUGCGUAACUAGAGUCCUGGAGAGGAAGGUGGAAUGCUUGGUGUAGAGGUGAAAUUCGUAGAUAUCAAGCGGAACACCGGUGGCGAAGGCGGCCUUCUGGACAGUGACUGACGCUGAGACGCGAAAGCGUGGGGAGCAAACAGG
rnacentral:rRNA from 1 species